rnacentral:rRNA from 1 species
UGGGGAAUAUUGCACAAUGGGGGAAACCCUGAUGCAGCGACGCCGCGUGGAGGAAGAAGGUCUUCGGAUUGUAAACUCCUGUUGUUGAGGAAGAUAAUGACGGUACUCAACAAGGAAGUGACGGCUAACUACGUGCCAGCAGCCGCGGUAAAACGUAGGUCACAAGCGUUGUCCGGAAUUACUGGGUGUAAAGGGAGCGCAGGCGGGAAGACAAGUUGGAAGUGAAAUCCAUGGGCUCAACCCAUGAACUGCUUUCAAAACUGUUUUUCUUGAGUAGUGCAGAGGUAGGCGGAAUUCCCGGUGUAGCGGUGGAAUGCGUAGAUAUCGGGAGGAACACCAGUGGCGAAGGCGGCCUACUGGGCACCAACUGACGCUGAGGCUCGAAAGUGUGGGUAGCAAACAGGAUUAGAUACCCUGGUAGUCCACACCGUAAACGAUGAUUACUAGGUGUUGGAGGAUUGACCCCUUCAGUGCCGCAGUUAACACAAUAAGUAAUCCACCUGGGGAGUACGACCGCAAGGUUGAAACUCAAAGGAAUUGACGGGGGCCCGCACAAGCAGUGGAGUAUGUGGUUUAAUUCGACGCAACGCGAAGAACCUUACCAAGUCUUGACAUCCUGCGACGGUGCUGGAAACAGUGCUUUCCUUCGGGACGCAGAGACAGGUGGUGCAUGGUUGUCGUCAGCUCGUGUCGUGAGAUGUUGGGUUAAGUCCCGCAACGAGCGCAACCCUUAUGGUCAGUUACUACGCAAGAGGACUCUGGCCAGACUGCCGUUGACAAAACGGAGGAAGGUGGGGAUGACGUCAAAUCAUCAUGCCCUUUAUGACUUGGGCUACACACGUACUACAAUGGCGUUAAACAAAGAGAAGCAAGACCGCGAGGUGGAGCAAAACUCAGAAACAACGUCCCAGUUCGGACUGCAGGCUGCAACUCGCCUGCACGAAGUCGGAAUUGCUAGUAAUCGUGGAUCAGCAUGCCACGGUGAAUACGUUCCC